rnacentral:piRNA from 1 species
UGUCACGGGUUGUGUAGUCCGAUGGAGGC